rnacentral:lncRNA from 1 species
GUUAUAUUCAAUUUACCAAAAAUAAUGAGAACAAUUUUGAAAUGCAAGCAUCUCUGAGACUUCCUAGGGGAGUUCCAAAUCAGCUUUGACCCUGCAUUUAAUUUACUUUUAGCAUAGAAUGUAGCAUAUUAUUACCUUUAGAAUUUCUCAUUUCAGAUGAAAAAAAAGUCAAGCUUUUAGAGUAAUUGCAAAUUUUUUAAAGAGACCUCAGUGAAAGCAGAGAGGUGAGUUUCCAUGGCAAUCUCUGAACAACGCAAAGGGAAGGGAAGAAGAGGGGAGCAUUUAAUGAGCACUUACAUGAUGUUAAGCAGUGUGCUUGGCACUUUACGGAAAAUAUCUGUCUAAAACACGGGAAAAUGCUGUGAGGUCAUGGUUUUAGGGAAGAACAAGCGGACUCCAAGGUAGAGAGACUUACCUCAGUUAACCGUUUAGAAUGUGGCCCAAAUGGGGUCUGGCCCUCCUUUGCUGCACCGUUGAGUUUCCUGCGAUUGCACCUUCUUUCUGCUGCUCACGCUCUAUGCCCCAUGUUUCCCAGGCUUAUUCCUCUUUGUUCCCAGACUUCCUCAAGGCUUCCCCAGGGUUAAUAUACAAACCUCCCUCUCCAGCCCGAUCUCUCACCAGCACCUCAGGCCCCUAUUUCCUUCUGACAAUGAGAUAAAUAUCCUUAGAUAGAUUAUCUUUCCUACUCAGAGAGAGUCUUCCUUGUGGCAGAAAGCCUAUGAGAAAAGUUGAAAGAGUGAUGGCAGGGUGAAACCACCAUGCUACAACCAGCCUACUACGGACCAGCUGUGCAAGAAUCAUCAACGGAAGCCAAAUCUGGGGGGAAGUUUGACGAGGGGCAGAAUAUCUGCGUGGUCUCAAAGGCUCUCUGCACAGAUUGCUUGUUAGCUGAAAGGCGAAAAACAGUAACUGCACAAUGGAGAAAUGGGAUGAGACUUGGUGUGAUCAAAAUUGACCUUAGCAGAGAGGAGCGGAUGGACAUCACAUGCCCCUGGACGUGAUGCAUUGAGAAGGAAACCCCAUCACCUAUGAGUAACUUGAAUCUAAUCACAAGGAAACAUCAGACAAACCCACACUGAAGAACAGUCUACAGCCGGCCUCGAUUCUUUAAAAACGUCUGGGUAUGAAAGUGAGAAGGACUGAGGAACCUUCUAGAUUAAAGGAGAGUAAACAGACAUGGCCACUAAAUGGAGCAGAUCCUGUACUGGACAUGUUCCAUGAGUUACACUAAGCUCUCUGGGACCAGAGCUGUGGACAGCAGAGACCCGGGCCUUGCCUCCCAGAACUUCCACUGCAGGGGAUGUGAUGGACACUAGUGAGCAUAAGCGCUACGGAAGCACAAGGAGGGGCAUCUCAUCCAGACCAAGAGGGUAAGGCAGGCCUCUCAGAGGGGAGGUGACUGCUGCCAUCACGGAUUUUCAGAGAUGGGAGAACCUGUGAAAUCUUGCUUAUCCCUGUGUUCUAAAGACCUGGCACAUAGGCAUUUCCCUAACUAGUGAAUCUGGAAAAAGGACAUACAGGUGUUCUCUCUUGUGUAUAGCAUGUACUACUCCUAAUUGAUAGGAUGAGUGAGUGAAUGAAUGAAUGAAUGAGUGAGUCAGUGAAAGAGUGAACAAAUUUCCACCUGUAACUGCAAGGAACCCAGUGGGACGAGCUCUCCCAGGAGGUUAUUCUCUCUCUCAUCCUUCCAAGGUCACCAGAGUGAGUGGGUCAGCUCCAGCAAGUCUUUCCCUCUUUGAUUGGGCAGUGAGAAGGAUUUGGGGGCGGCAGCAUGGUGACUAACCAUAGCCAUGGGGGUUCCUGCUGCCCCUGCUUCUGUGUUCUGAUUUCAGAGGAGAUGAAACGCUUUAUUAAGAAAAGCCAUUUAGGUCUCUCUCUUUUCCUGAGUUGCUCAACCUUUUUCAGACCCCGAUAUUCACAGAGGAGAACAAAGCCGCCUUCCCGAAGCUGUACUUUGGGUUUUGUUCUUGCUGAAGCCAUGAGAAGCCAGCAGCCCGCGUGCCUCUGUAGGUCAGAAACAAGGGCCCUUUGGCUCUGUCCAAAGAUCAUAAUCUUCGUAGUAACAAAGCAAUAUGCUUUCAGUUUUACUCAGUGCUUUCUCUUUCAUGAUCUCAUUUCAUUUACAGAGCAGACUUACGGAAUGUUGGAGACCCUGAUGGCUACAAUACUUGGGGAUUUCCACACCCUCUUUGGUGAAGUCCCAGGAAACUGUGAAGGAGCCAGGGGCCUGCCCUGUCGGGAGGAGCCCCCCUCCUCGGGGCAGGAAGCCGAGCUGGCUCAUUUCUCUGCCCUUUGCUCAGCCAACCAUGCCAACUGAGCUGCUUGCUUGCGCUUGUCCCAUAUAUUGCAGUUCCAGUGACAUUUCUCUUGAAAAGUAGAUCUUAUAGCUGGAAACAAAAGUUUGGAGACUAUUGAUCAGUGGCAAUACCUUCAUAUUUUUGGUAAAGAAAUGCAGGUCCAGAAAAGGAAAUCAUUGGUUUAAAAUCACAAAGUUAACAAGUAGCAGAGCAGAAACUAAGCUCCUGUCCUGGGUAUCAUUUCGGUUUCUACUCUAGGGCAUUCGAUUGCUGCAUCUGGCAAAACCAGUCACAGGAAAUGGAAAGGUCCAAUGUUCUGGCCCAAAAGGAGAGAAAAAUGACAAUAUUUUUUUUUAAAUCCCUGAAAGCUGAGGGUUCUGGCAUGCCCCUCCUCCCGUGUGCCUAUUGGGUCUGUGUUCCCUGAUGCUGAGAAGGCCCGGUGAGUCACCCCUCCCUCCCAGAGCCUCACUUUCCUCCCCGGAAACUGACCUGGGGAAGGUGGCUCACCACCAUCUCUUCUGGAUUCCAAAUGUGCUUCAGGUUAGGAAAUAACUAGCAACGUUUACCCCCGUCCUGACUAACUAAAGAUUGAAUACCAGGCUGAACUGAAAUCAUGGAUGGGAACAGUUUCUUUCUAAUGUAAAACCAUAAGAAGAACUCCUUAUGAUGUCCAAGUUGCUCCCAGCUGCGGUGCCAGGGAGCACAGAAAGACCUACAAUCACCUUCCCGGGAAGGGAGUCCAUUCCCACCCCCACCUCUCAUGCUUUCAAAAGCCACAGAAGGGAGAAAGACCCUAAGCUUCAUGAGGUUCCUUUGAGAAGGGGAACUCAGGUCUAUUUUAGCCCCUCCCUGUGAAGAAAUGGAGGGCUGAGUGGCACUCCCUGAGACCACUGCCACCAGAGUGACACUGCCUGCCAUCUAGAGGCACUAGGGCAGGAAAGGGAGGCCAGCAUGGUGGCUGAAGCUGAAUCACCAGCUCCAGGAGGGCAAAGGGUCAAUUACUUGCAAGCAUCAGCAGACUCAACACACUUUCGAACACAUCUCUUCCUCCUGUAGAAAAAAAUGAUGUUGCCUUAUAGCUUCCUCACCUCUAACUCCUUGGAAUGGAUUUCAUGCUAUCUGUUCCUUCCAUGCCAGUAAUCUCUCUCUCUCACUCUCUCUCUGGCCAAAAGAAUACCACUUUUUCCUGUUCAAACCUUGCAGAGUGCACCAAUUAUAUAUGUUAAAAAUGAUGACAACAGUGAAAUUACUGAAAACCAUAAAAAGCAAUUAAAAACUAAAACCUUGAAGUGCUGAUGCUCCAUGAAAUUAUACUGAUUUGAUAGAUUCCACAGUUGGACAUUGCCUUCCUCUGUCAUGUGAACAAAAUGUUAUCUUUUCAUUUUAAAAGCAGUGAUUAUAUCGGUAUUUUUUUAAUGACAUCUAUGGGUUGUUUCCUUUCUGUAAAUAUAGAAUGUUCAUUUGCAUAGUCACAAAGGAAAUUAGGAAAUGUCUACUCAAUUUUUACAGCUCAUGACGUGUACUAAUAUUCCCAGUUUCUUUUCUACUCUGCCUGGUUGAGCAAAAGAUAAAUUUGUGUCGCUGUUGUUUGUCAUAUUGCAAGAUGAUAAUGUUUACCAAAUAAGCAAAUGAAACGACCUAUCAAAUUUACAAAUGAACUGUAGGUUAGAGUUGACCAAAUGCCGUCACAUUUUUUUUUUUAAUGUACUUGUUUUGAAAUUAACCUAGGUUUUACUCUACUCUCUCACAGCUGCUGAAUCUGUGAACUUGAGCGUGUUACCUUACCUCUCUGAGCCCCACUUUCCGCAUAUGUAAAAUGGAGAUAGUACUAGUAUUCAUGGGAUCGUGGGGUGGACUGAGCAAGAAAAUAUGCAGUUUAGUGUGAUGCAUGCACUAUAGAGUAGGCCCUCAAUAACUGGGAUUUCCUUUAAUUUCACUAG